rnacentral:rRNA from 1 species
CAGCCGCCGCGGGAAAACGAAGGGUGCAAGCGUUAAUCGGAAUUACUGGGCGUAAAGCGUGCGCAGGCGGUUAUAUAAGACAGAUGUGGAAUCCCCGGGCUCAACCUGGGAACUGCAUUUGUGACUGUAUAGCUAGAGUACGGCAGAGGGGGAUGGAAUUCCGCGUGUAGCAGUGAAAUGCGUAGAUAUGCGGAGGAACACCGAUGGCGAAGGCAAUCCCCUGGGCCUGUACUGACGCUCAUGCACGAAAGCGUGGGGAGCAAACAGGAUUAGAUACCCCCGUAGUCCCUGUCUCUUAUAC